UACGAAGGGAGCUAGCGUUGCUCGGAAUCACUGGGCGUAAAGCGCACGUAGGCGGAUGUGUCAGUCAGGGGUGAAAUCCCGGAGCUCAACUUCGGAACUGCCCUUGAUACAGCACGUCUUGAGUCCGAUAGAGGUGGGUGGAAUUCCUAGUGUAGAGGUGAAAUUCGUAGAUAUUAGGAAGAACACCGGUGGCGAAGGCGGCCCACUGGAUCGGUACUGACGCUGAGGUGCGAAAGCGUGGGGAGCAAACAGG
rnacentral:rRNA from 1 species